ACCUGAGCUGCACCCGGCUGCUCUGCAGAGCCAGUGCCAGGAAGUCUUUGCCGCGGUUGUUCCCAUUGUACAGCAGCAGCCCCUGCGGCUCCAGAGUCCGGAAUUCCAGUGCCAGGCGCAGGGUAUGGUAGGCGCGGAGGGUGGGGAAAGCCAGGAAGGAGUGGCCCCAGAAGGCAGGCACAGGGGGGCGCAGCGCUGCAGGGAGCAGGGAGGCUGGCUACAGGAGGGCACCCCUGUGGCUGCACAGCCCGGUGCCGCCGCCGAGCCUGGACGCUUGUCGCCCGCGCUGCCCACUCACCCUCCUCGCAGACGGUGCCGCCCCGGCCCACUGGGCAGCUGCAGCUGAAGCCUUGGCCAGAGUCUUGGUCUUGGCAGGUGCCCCCGUGGAGGCAGGGCUGGGAGGCACAGGGCCUCGGGGGCUGCUGGAGGCCGGGGGGCAGGGGCCGGUGUCCUGCCGUGCGGCUGGGGGCUGUGGUAGGCGGCCGGUGCGUGGUGGGAGGUGCUGUGGUCCUGCCAGUAGGUCGGCUGGUGUGACUAGGGUGGGCCCGAGGUCCCUCAGGUGGACACUCCGGAAGUCCUUUUUGACAUCCGAGUUUCGGAACAGGUCAUCCAGCUGCCAGUAGGGAAAGGGUGAGAACAUGGGGUGCCGGCCACACCAGCUGCAAGUGGUCCUGGGCAUCAGGGCCUGGGCUGGCACUCAGGCUGCAUCCCACUCACUGAACUCUCGAUGCUCCGGGCAGUCUCCCCAAACAGCUCUGACUUGGGGUCAGCCAUCUCGGGCGUGUAGAACAGCUCCUGUCCCUCGACUCCCUCCAGCUCAAGCACUCCCUGGAAGGCCUUGGUGUCUGUGGGGGAAGGGUGGUGAGGCUCUGCCUGGCACCUCCCUGGCCUCCUGGGCCGGCCAUGGGCACCGGCACCCACGGUGAGCUGCGUGGGGCACAGGGGCAGGUGGGUGUUAGUCAGAUGGUCAUGAGGUUAGUGAGGACCCCGGGCAGGGCUGGCGUCAGUUACCAGGUGGACUCCUCGGAGCAGGUGCCCCAGGUUGGCUUGCAAGGAGAGAGACGGUUAGGCAAGGGUCUCGGCAUGCACGUGUGUUUGGGGGCUUAGACCACACGUGUGCUUGUGUGCUGAAUCCUCACACGCAUGUGCUAAUGCCACCAGACCACAAACCCAGUACCGACCUGCUGCAGAGGGUGGGCACAGCACCGGGUGUGUCCAGGCUGCUCUCCAAGCUUCAUCCUACUCCCACCACCCACUUACCAGGGCAGUUGGAGCCCUCGGUGUCCAGCGAGGGUGUCUUGCCAUCUGAACAGCAGCCCAAAGGGGAGUUGUAGCAGGAAGCCCUCUCAAUGGGUGGCCCAGGGGUCACCAUGCUGAUCCCCGUGGGGAGUUCAAGUCCUGAGGAGCCUCCCCCACUGGCCUCCUGGUCUCCACUGAGCUCCUCGUCACCGCUCCCAGCAGUGCUGCCAGAUUCGCCGGAGGCCGGCAGGGCAAGGCUGGUGCCAGUGGAGGCUGCGGUGAGGGCCGUGGUUGGCACAGGCCAUACGGUGGGCCUGGGCAUGCUGGCUGUGGUCCGAGGUCGUGAUGUGGGUGAAGGGGUGGGCUGGCUGCUGGGGAUGCCGCUGGGUACCAGGGGCGGUGCGCUGGGGGUGGGCAGCAGCGCCUCACUCCGGACAGGCUCCAGGGUGGUCGCAGAUGCAGACGUGGGGUGUGUGCCAAGAGCAUCGGCAUCUGCAAGGAGAGAGCUUUCAGUCAGGGCAGGCAGAGGCUCCCGGUCAUUCUGGGCAGAGGCUCCCAGGCUGUACCUUGGCACGGGCCGAAACUCUGCGUAGAGAUGUCCAAGCCCUGGCGGCAGGCAAUGGUCUUCAGCUGGCACUCGUUGCCGUAUGUGAUGCCAUCGGACCCACAGACCUGGGUCACAGGACGGGAAUGCUCAGGCAAGUCCUCCCCACCCAACUGCCCUCCACAUGCUCUUACCCUCACCUUGGUGGCAUUGGCCUCUGGGCACGUGAGGGCUGGGCAGACACAGUGGGCAGAACCAGCUUCCUCCACACAGGAGGCUCCAAACUCACAGUGCACCUCCGCGCAGGUCCUGGGCACCGAGGA
rnacentral:lncRNA from 1 species